rnacentral:misc_RNA from 1 species
AACGCAUAUUGCACUCUUUGGUAUUCCGAAGAGUAUGCCUGUUUCAGUAUCAUGAAAUUCUCAUCUCCCUCAAACUUUUUGUUUUGUGAUGAUGGAUCUGGGCUUGCAAGCUUUCAGUUUGCUCGCUUCAAAUGAAUUUCUUGAUGCAGACUUGCUUCGAAUCGGCUUAAUAGUUUUGGUCUUUUGAUCAAAUCUUUAGCUCUUUCAACGCAUACCACUGCUCAUGAUUUUUACGAUAAAACUUCUAAAAAUUUGAUCUGAAAUCAGGUAGGACUACCCGCUGAACUUAA